rnacentral:rRNA from 1 species
CAAGCCUAACACAUGCAAGUCGAACGGACAAUUAUUUAUAGCCUCUGGCUAUAGGAAAUUGUUAGUGGCAGACGGGUGAGUAAUGCGUAGGAAUCUACCUAGUAGUACGGAAUAGCCAUUAGAAAUGGUGGGUAAUACUGUAUAAUCCCCGAGGGGGAAAGAUUUAUCGCUAUUAGAUGAGCCUACGUUAGAUUAGCUAGUUGGUGAGGUAAUGGCUUACCAAGGCUAUGAUCUAUAGCUGGUCUGAGAGGACGAUCAGCCACACUGGAACUGAGAUACGGUCCAGACUCCUACGGGAGGCAGCAGUGGGGAAUAUUGGACAAUGGGCGAAAGCCUGAUCCAGCUAUGC